GGAGUUAGCCGGUGCUUCUUCUGUGAGUGAUGUCCUUCCUGCCGGUUAUUGACCCGCAGGCCUUCUUCCUCACUGAAAGUGCUUUACAACCCGAAGGCCUUCUUCACACACGCGGCAUGGCUGGAUCAGGGUUGCCCCCAUUGUCCAAUAUUCCCCACUGCUGCCUCCCGUAGUAGUCUGGGCCGUGUCUCAGUCCCAGUGUGGCUGAUCAUCCUCUCAGACCAGCUACGGAUCGUCGCCUUGGUGAGCCGUUACCUCACCAACCAGCUAAUCCGACAUAGGCUCAUCCGAUAGCGCGAGGCCCGAAGGUCCCCCGCUUUCCCCCGUAGGGCGUAUGCGGUAUUAGCCUGGGUUUCCCCAGGUUAUCCCCCACUACCGGGCAGAUUCCUAUGCAUUACUCACCCGUCCGCCGCUCGCCACCAGGGAGCAAGCUCCCCGUGCUGCCGCUCGACUUGCAUGUGUUAGGCCUGCCGCCAGCGUUCAAUCUGAGCCAUAAUCAAACUCUGA
rnacentral:rRNA from 1 species